UACGGCCGCAAGGUUAAAACUCAAAUGAAUUGACGGGGGCCCGCACAAGCGGUGGAGCAUGUGGUUUAAUUCGAUGCAACGCGAAGAACCUUACCUGGUCUUGACAUCCACAGAACUUUCCAGAGAUGGAUUGGUGCCUUCGGGAACUGUGAGACAGGUGCUGCAUGGCUGUCGUCAGCUCGUGUUGUGAAAUGUUGGGUUAAGUCCCGCAACGAGCGCAACCCUUAUCCUUUGUUGCCAGCGGUUAGGCCGGGAACUCAAAGGAGACUGCCAGUGAUAAACUGGAGGAAGGUGGGGAUGACGUCAAGUCAUCAUGGCCCUUACGACCAGGGCUACACACGUGCUACAAUGGCGCAUACAAAGAGAAGCGACCUCGCGAGAGCAAGCGGACCUCAUAAAGUGCGUCGUAGUCCGGAUUGGAGUCUGCAACUCGACUCCAUGAAGUCGGAAUCGCUAGUAAUCGUGGAUCAGAAUGCCACGGUGAAUACGUUCCCGGGCCUUGUACACACCGCCCGUCACACCAUGGGAGUGGGUUGCAAAAGAAGUAGGUAGCUUAACCUUCGGGAGGGCGCUUACCACUUUGUGAUUCAUGACUGGGGUGAAGUCGUAACAAGGUAACCGUAGGGGAACCUGCGGUUGGAUCACCUCCUUA
rnacentral:rRNA from 2 species